rnacentral:lncRNA from 1 species
GCACGUCGUGCAAGGGAAUAUCUCGUUGCGGAGAGGGAGAAACGGGGGAGAAUCCGACGAGGAGAUAUCCGAGAAACCGUUUUCUGUACGGGUUUCCGGGUCGGGUUGUACGAGAGUGACGAGGGAGUUCUGAGACGAUCUAGCGGAGGUCAGAGUCGUUAAUGGGCCGUUAGGGUGUGUUUGGUUGCGGGAUUUGGAUAUCCUCGUCGUGGAUAAGAAAACCCGUUUUAAGUACGUCCAAGAAGAGGAUAAACCGGAACCGGAAGUGACCGUUCUAAGCUUCUUCUUCCUCCUCUUCUGUCUCAAGUCACAUCCUUUGGAGAAGAAGAAACAGCCGACGAAGAGAAAGAAGAGAGAGAAGAAAUGCUGUCGUAACAACGACCCUAGUUUUCGCGCCGCCAUUCACGAGGGUUGUUACUGAGCUUUUAAGACUUUGGAACUGGUCUGAAGAGAGAGAGAGAGAAGAAGAGGACGUUUUAGUGUUUUGCAGUUUUACGCCAUUGGAGAGAAGUCAGAGUUGUAAAGAAGAAGAAAUGAUGGAGAAAAGAGUGUAAAGGUGUAUGAAGACAGGAGAGAUACUAAAGGUGUUGAAGAAGAGUAGGUGCGACGCUAUUUUUAUGUCUUUUUUUACUUUUUUAUUUUUUUCUAUUAGUAUUUGCCAGAAUAUUUGUCUCCCCACUUAGAUUUACCUCCACCCCGUCGCGAACGUCGCGAUCCCGUCGAGCUUCGGCGAGAAUCCGGAUCCGAUGAUCCCGCAGAUGCUGCAGUACUGAUGACCGCAGAGACCGGAGCUACCGUUCUGCCCUAGGCUACACAUGAACGUCGAGCAGUAGAAUCUGAGGAGCUCGUUCCCGUCGACGACGCACCGCUCGUCGUCCCACCGUCCGUUCCCGCUGCCGCGAGCGGCUUUCGCCUUGACGAACUCGCGAUACUCCUCGAACCUCGCGAGAAUCUUCGGGCUGUUGUGGAUUUUCAGGAUCCGAUGGAUCUCCGGGAUUUUCUUGUUGUCGCCUUGCUCCGGCCAGCCUGAUUUGAAUAUGAUCUUCACGAUAUUGGUGCUCGACUCGCCGUCGACGAGCUCCGAGACGGCGUGUUUGAUCGCGAUGUGGUGCUCGAGGAGGGUUGUUUUGGGGAAUAUCUCUCCGCACGUCGUGCAAGGGAAUAUCUCGUUGCGGAGAGGGAGAAACGGGGGAGAAUCCGACGAGGAGAUAUCCGAGAAACCGUUUUCUGUACGGGUUUCCGGGUCGGGUUGUACGAGAGUGACGAGGGAGUUCUGAGACGAUCUAGCGGAGGUCAGAGUCGUUAAUGGGCCGUUAGGGUGUGUUUGGUUGCGGGAUUUGGAUAUCCUCGUCGUGGAUAAGAAAACCCGUUUUAAGUACGUCCAAGAAGAGGAUAAACCGGAACCGGAAGUGACCGUUCUAAGCUUCUUCUUCCUCCUCUUC